UGUGGGAGCGAGCCUGCUCGCGAUAACGGUGUGUCAGUCGCAUCAACGCAGCUGAUUCACCGCAAUCGCGAGCAGGCUCGCUCCCACA
rnacentral:misc_RNA from 1 species